rnacentral:rRNA from 1 species
UACGUAGGGGGCAAGCGUUGUCCGGAAUCAUUGGGCGUAAAGCGCGUGUAGGCGGUUCGAUAAGUCUGCUGUGAAAGUCCAGGGCUCAACCCUGGAAAGCCGGUGGAUACUGUCGGACUAGAGUGCGGAAGAGGCGAGUGGAAUUCCCGGUGUAGCGGUGAAAUGCGCAGAUAUCGGGAGGAACACCAAUUGCGAAGGCAGCUCGCUGGGACGCUACUGACGCUGAGACGCGAAAGCGUGGGGAGCAAACAGG